ensembl:lncRNA
CUCACGGUGAAAGAAUUUUGUCAAUACGACUUUUACUUUUCAUUUGGGAAUGAUUUGUUUCGGCCUGACUUUUCUGUUCAUUUUAAGCAGCAAAAGUGAGGCGCAUGUCUGUGUACGUGUGUAUGGGGCCAUUGGGUGCGGUCACUAUAGCAACCAGGCUCACACCUGCCUGCUUAACGAGCUCUGCCUGCCACUGUACCAAGAUUCAUCUUAAGCACUUCUCUUUCAACUGCUGCUGUGUCCACAGUGUUACAGCCAUCAUUUUACCCUCAAAUUGUCGCCAUUAUUGUUCUCUUUCCAACACCGUAUCUUUCAAAGCUCAGUCAUUUAAACUUUUUAAACUGUGUGUAUCAAAGUGGAGGGAUCACAUUUGAGUCAUUCAGUGAUUCAAAGAAUAUGACCUUUUAAUAUUCAUUCAGAUGUUUUCUGACUCUAAAUGUUCUUUUCUCAUUUCUUAGGGUUUUCUAAUUUACAUUUAAAACAUUUUCAGUUUUUUUCCAACUCCUUCUUCUGUGUAACCUUCAGCUUUUAGCAGUUCAGCACCUUUGUUUUCAGGUUAAAUUCGUUUUUUUUUUUGUUUUUUUUUUAAUCUCAUUCAAUAUUUUUAACUCAAAAUUCAGCAAUUAAUUCAUUUCAGUGCAUACAUUCAGAUUCAAGCAUUCACACUGCAGUUUCUUCAGAAAAUGCACUUUCUAGUUAUGUCUGUGCUUUUCAGCGACAAGCCAAAAUAUCUGUUGUGAUUGGGUCGUAGAAAUCUACCUUUCUUCUUUCAUUUAAAGUGUGAAAAGCUCUUCCAGACAUGUGUGACAGCUACUCAAUUUUCACACUACAAAGCAAUCAAAGACAAAGAAUACAGGCUUGAGAACUGAUUGUUAGUGUGCUAGUUUAUUGAUUAGGUUAGUGACUUAGAAAGGCUAACUCCAGCAGCCCUGUCCUCAUCUUUGCUGGAUUUGGGGAACUUUGGAAAAGUUGAUCUACACUUUACUCGAGGCAGCAUUAUGCUGGCUAACC